rnacentral:rRNA from 1 species
CGGCACGGGUGAGUAACACGUAUCCAACCUGCCGUCUACUCUUGGACAGCCUUCUGAAAGGAAGAUUAAUACAAGAUGGCAUCAUGAGUCCGCAUGUUCACAUGAUUGAAGGUAUUCCGGUAGACGAUGGGGAUGCGUUCCAUUAGAUAGUAGGCGGGGUAACGGCCCACCUAGUCUUCGAUGGAUAGGGGUUCUGAGAGGAAGGUCCCCCACAUUGGAACUGAGACACGGUCCAA